rnacentral:rRNA from 1 species
CUGCAGCCCGAGUGGUGGUCGAUUUUAUUGAGCCUAAAGCGUCCGUAGCCGGACUAGUAAACCCUUGGGUAAAUUGGGCAGCUUAACUGUCCAAAUUCCGAGGGGACUGCUAGUCUUGGGACCGGGAGAGGUCAGAGGUACUCAAGGGGUAGGGGCUAAAUCCUGUAAUCCUUUGGGGACCACCAGUGGCGAAGGCGUCUGACUAGAACGGAUCCGACGGUAAGGGACGACACCCUGGGGCGCGAACCGGAUUAGAUACCCGAGUAGUCC